ACCAAGUAUGAUAGUGCAUUCCUGUGGUCCCUGCUAAUGCAGAGGUUGAGGCUGGUAGAUUAUUUGAGCUCAGGAAUUUUGAACUUUAGGAGAGAUAAAUCCAUUCAGGUGUCUGGACUAAGUCCAGCGCUAGUAUGAUGAACCACCAGGCUGCCUAAGAAUGAGUGAACUGAAUCAGGUCAGAAAUAGAGCAGGUCAAAGCUCCCAUGCUGAUCAUUCAUGGGAUUGGGUCCGUGUGACAGCUGCAUUUGCAGCCUGGGUGAGAUAAGGAGCACUAGUCUCAA
rnacentral:SRP_RNA from 1 species